rnacentral:lncRNA from 1 species
AUUGUAGUUGUUGUACUGAAGCUGAAAGGAACCAGGCCUAGAUCCAUCAGAAUUCAGUUUACAAGACAAAGGCUACCGACUUGCAGUUGUUACCAAAACAAGAACAACGUUUGUGUUCAGUGUGAAGACUUGAAGAACGAGCAGAAAGACUGAGAUGUGCCUGUUGGUGUCCUCGCCAUGAUACAGUCAAAGAAUCCAUACCCCAGAUUUGAGCCAGUUGGUCAUGUUGCCCUGACCAUGAAGUUGUCCAAAGGGUUAUGGAUGUUCCCAGGCUAGAGGUCAGCAGCUCGGGAUCUGAGCCACCUCUAUGACCUACACCACAUCUCAUGGCAACACGGGAUCCUUGAUCCACUGAGCAAGGCCAGGGAUUGAACCCACGUCAUUAUGGAUACCCACCUGCCACAACGGGAACUCCUGAUUGAUUUUUUUUAAGCCAAAACCUCCAAGAAAAAGGAUGUUAUGGUACACCUAAUAAUGGAAAGACUAAGCUAUUAUAGCAACUCUGUCUUAAUGAGAGUUGAUACAACAGCUCAGUCUUUCCUAAAACAAGCACAGACAGCAUCUAUUGCUCCAAAGAACAUGAAGGGUUGCAAUGACUCCUGGGUCCCAUGAGAGGUGAUGUUUGGGUAAAGAUAUCACGAAGAAUCUGUGCUAUUUCAAAUACCCAGGAAAUUAAUUAAUAAAGAUGUUUCUGGAAGUUACAGAUUUGGCCAACUGAACUCAUUCCCCAUGGUGACUUCUUCCUGAGAGCAGAUUCCAUCAUGCCCUUGGGUCAUACUGAGAAUCAGUGUAAAAGCAUCACAGCUUGUCAUCUUCUAGGAAAGUAUGUUUCAGGAGAGGAUCUGUCUUUAUAUAAGAAUCUAGAAUUCAUGGAACUUUCCAUUGUGGCUCAUCCUUAACGAACCUGACUAUUAUCCAUAAGGAUGUGGGUUUGAUCCCUGGCCCUGAUCAGUGGGUUAAGGAUCCAGUAUUACCAUGAGCUGUGGAGUAGCUUGUGGACGCGGCUCAGAUCUGGCGGUGUUGCUGUGGCUGUGGCUGGCAGCUACCGCUCUGAUUUGACCCCUAGCCUGGGAACUUCCAUAUGUUGCAGGUGCAGCCCUAAAAAGACAUAAAAAAAAAAA